GCCGGAGACUCCCGCUCUGGGAACAAGAAUAAAAAGGCUGCUGAGGGCAGAGACCCAGAAAACUUCCGCGGCAGGAUGGGCGCAGUCCCGACCUCCGCCCUUGCGCUGAUGCUGGUUCUGGGCUCCCUGGGAACAGCUCAGAUCCUGCAGCCCGGCUCGGCAGAGGCGCUGCAGGGAACUCCGCUCAACCUCACCUGUGAACACUCCUCAAUCAACCUCGGGGAUUAUAUCUACUGGUACCGGCUAUUCCCCAACCGCGGACCCCAAUUCAUUGUUUUCGGAAGCAAGGACACUGUCCAAGUCUCCUCUCCGGAGGGGGCUCUGCACAUCUCGAAGGACAGAAAAUCCAGCGCUCUGGCGCUCCUCGCACCUGGGCGGGGGGACGCGGCCGUGUACUACUGCGCUGUGGGAGACACGGUAGCUCCUUCCCAGAACAGCUGCAAGGAGAGUUACAACUUUGGCAUGGACAUUAAGUACAUCACGAAGAAGCCACAGAGAGGGAAGCGAGAUUAAAAGGAGUGAAGGGGAUAAGAGGAAGUUAGUAGUCAAGAGUUGCGACUACUCUUCUAACCCCACAGCACCCACCUGCCCGAGCUGUGGAAUCACCUCCGGGGAAAAAAAAAACAUCAUCAAAACUUGCCGGGAUGAUGGGAAGUCAUUAACUAGGACAAGUGGCAGCGGAAAGUGAAGCCAGCUGGACACCGCGCUGCAGCAUCUCCAAUGCACACGGUCAUAUCCUCUUGCCUGCUCCGUGUUAGGUAUGUGGGUCUGAAUUGGCGCAGGUCCUUUCAUAUGGGAAGAGCGACACUGAUUCACAUCGGAUUAAAUUCCUCCCACCAUUUACUAUGGGACAGUCCGACAAGGGUUGGUUGGUUGGAAGAGAGAGGCUCUCCGCUCCUUAGGGUACCGCCCCCAUGCCCGCCAGGGGGCGUUCUUACCAGUAUCUGGCUAUCAGUCCACAUCUGUCCCCGGCUGCAACCUAUAAAUAUGGUUAUUUUAAAACAGUCUCCGAUCCUUUCCGUCUUUGCUCCCCCGCCCCCAGCCACUCCUCCUCCCU